AACUUGAGCAUUAAAACAAAGCAGUUAAGGGCCAUUUUACUUUAACGCUAAAGUGUUUCUACUCUCACAUACUAUCAACGUUGGUGAAAAGUAAAAUCUUGUACUGAGGGUAAUGACGUAUAUUUUUAAU